CAGUGCGGGUCAUCGCAACCUUGAACCUGUGCCGCCAUUUUGGGGGCGCGUGCGGUGCUGGGUGUGAGCGGUACAUCGUUCAUAAAUGGAGGCUCCCUCUGUGUGCCAACAGCAACCACAAGUGCUGCAUACCUGACACAGCGUAUAGCGGUGCACCCAUCAACACUGAAGCAACCACCACGACAACAGAGACGACUCCAGAAACAACAACACCACCGGUUACAGUGUCAACAACCACAGCAGGACAAGGAUCAACAUCGUGGGUAGAAUAUCCAUCCGACAAUGGAGAAGCAGCCAGCAGCGCAGCAUCUUUGGACGAGUGUGGUUCCAUGAACCGGACUCGCCGGAGGAAGAGGAUAGUGGGAGGAAGUGUCUCCCCACCCGGUGCCUGGCCCUGGCUCCUGGCUCUCAGGUCCCUGAUAGGGGCUCACGCGUGCU